rnacentral:rRNA from 1 species
CAUGCAAGUCGAACGGCAGUAGAACCAGCAAUGGGACUAUGAGAGUGGCGAACGGGUGCGUAACGCGUAUGCAACCUACCUCCAACUGGGGAAUAGCCCUGGGAAACCGGGAUUAACACCGCAUAAGAUGGUAGAACCGCAUGGUUCAGCCAUUAAAGUUUACGGUUGGAGAUGGGCAUGCGUGCCAUUAGCUAGUUGGCGGGGUAAUAGCCCACCAAGGCGACGAUGGCUAGGGGGUCUGAGAGGAUGAUCCCCCACACUGGUACUGAGAUACGGACCAGACUCCUACGGGAGGCAGCAGUAGGGAAUAUUGGUCAAUGGACGCAAGUCUGAACCAGCCAUGCCGCGUGCAGGAUGAAGGCGCUCUGCGUUGUAAACUGCUUUUGUACGGGAAGAAUAUAUCGUUUGCGAACGGUUUUGACGGUACCGUAAGAAUAAGGAUCGGCUAACUACGUGCCAGCAGCCGCGGUAAUACGUAGGAUCCAAGCGUUGUCCGGAUUUAUUGGGUUUAAAGGGUGCGCAGGCGGCCUGAUAAGUCAGUGGUGAAAGCCCGUUGCUUAACAACGGAACUGCCAUUGAUACUGUCGGGCUUGAGUACAGUUGAGGUUGGCGGAAUGUAUCAUGUAGCGGUGAAAUGCUUAGAUAUGAUACAGAACACCGAUUGCGAAGGCAGCUGACUAAGCUGUUACUGACGCUCAGGCACGAAAGCGUGGGGAUCAAACAGGAUUAGAUACCCUGGUAGUCCACGCCGUAAACGUUGAUAACUCGAUGUUGGCGAUAUACAGUCAGCGUCUUAGCGAAAGCGU